rnacentral:rRNA from 1 species
GACGAACGCUGGCGGCGUGCUUAACACAUGCAAGUCGAACGGAAAGGCCCUGCUUUUGUGGGGUGCUCGAGUGGCGAACGGGUGAGUAACACGUGAGUAACCUGCCCUUGACUUUGGGAUAACUUCAGGAAACUGGGGCUAAUACCGGAUAGGUGCUCCUGCUGCAUGGUGGGGGUUGGAAAGUUUCGGCGGUUGGGGAUGGACUCGCGGUCUAUCGGCUUGUUGGUGGGGUAGUGGCUUACCAAGACCUUGACGGAUAGCCGGCCUGAGUGGGUGACCGGCCACAUUGGGACUGAGGUACGGCCCAGACUCCUACGGGAGGCAGUGGUGGGGAUUAUUGCACGAGGGGCGGAAGCCUGAGGCAGCAACGCCGCGUACGGGAUGACGGCCUUCGGGUGGUAGACCGCUGUCGCCUGUGACGGAGCGUGAGUGACGGUAAUGGGUAAAGAAGCACCGGCUAACUACGUG